rnacentral:rRNA from 1 species
AGUGAACGCUGGCGGUAGGCCUAACACAUGCAAGUCGAACGGCAGCACAGUAAGAGCUUGCUCUUACGGGUGGCGAGUAGCGGACGGGUGAGGAAUACAUCGGAAUCUACUUUUUCGUGGGGGAUAACGUAGGGAAACUUACGCUAAUACCGCAUACGACCUACGGGUGAAAGCAGGGGAUCUUCGGACCUUGCGCGAUUGAAUGAGCCGAUGUCGGAUUAGCUAGUUGGCGGGGUAAAGGCCCACCAAGGCGACGAUCCGUAGCUGGUCUGAGAGGAUGAUCAGCCACACUGGAACUGAGACACGGUCCAGACUCCUACGGGAGGCAGCAGUGGGGAAUAUUGGACGAUGGGCGCAAGCCUGAUCCAGCCAUACCGCGUGGGUGAAGAAGGCCUUCGGGUUGUAAAGCCCUUUUGUUGGGAAAGAAAAGCAGCAGGUUAAUACCCCGCUGUUCUGACGGUACCCAAAGAAUAAGCACCGGCUAACUUCGUG